GAUGAAGAACGUAGCGAAAUGCGAUAAGUAAUGUGAAUUGCAGAAUUCAGUGAAUCAUCGAAUCUUUGAACGCACAUUGCGCCCGCCAGUAUUCUGGCGGGCAUGCCUGUCCGAGCGUCAUUUCAACCCUCGAACCCCUCCGGGGGGUCGGCGUUGGGGAUCGGCCCCUCACCGGGCCGCCCCCGAAAUCCAGUGGCGGUCUCGCCGCAGCCUCUCCUGCGCAGUAGUUUGCACACUCGCACCGGGAGCGCGGCGCGGCCACAGCCGUAAAACACCCCAAACUCUGAAAUGUUGACCUCGGAUCAGGUAGGAAUACCCGCUGAACUUAAGCAUAUCAUAAGCGGAGGA
rnacentral:misc_RNA from 1 species